GUGGCACGGCGAUUACUGCACAGACAAGCAGUGGUACUGCAUUUGUCUACACUGCAGGUUCUGGAUGGCAUGACAGUCACCCUUGAAGAAAGAACUAGAGCAGAGCUUUUAAAUAAUGAAGCACAGGGUUCUGCAGUAGUUUAGGAGGUGAAAUGACUUUACCCAGUUUGGUACCAUUGGUGACCCGACCAGCUCCUUUAAGAGAUUUUGAGAUAAGAAGCAAAAGGCAGUUGUCUCUCUGUUGCGUGGGGUUCACAGUGACAUCAACUUCAGGCAGAUCCAGCCACUACAUGACAGCCCUGCAGCAGAUCGGAUAUAGAGUUCUCUCCACUUUCCCUGACGCCGAUCCUGAGACCAGGUCUGAAUAUACACACAUAUACACAUACAUUAUAGAUCUUUAUGUGAUGUUGAAGCGUAAGAGGGUGUAUUAACCCUCAUGUUGUGUUCAGGAGAGGAUUUUCUUUUCCUGAAACUGCUAAUUAAUAUUAUUCCAUUGGACUAAAACUUACUGACUUUGCUCACACAGGGUAUAACAACUUCCCAAAAACACAACUUCUUGUUAUUUUUUUGCCUUUAUUUUAUCAUUUUAGAACUGAUUGGCCCCAGGCCUCACUGAUCUGAGCUUAUGCACCUCCGAUGUUAAGUGAAUAUUGCCAAAAUUAUUCAAAGAUAAUGCUUUUUUACUCAAAAACUGAGAUGCAUAAGCUCCAAUCAGUGAGGCCUAUGACCAGGCAGUUCCAAAAAGAAACACAAAACCUGUGCUAAUUGAAAGAAAACAAGUUGACAAAAAGAUUCAAUCCAAGUUUAAGGUUUGGUGAUAAUAUAGCAUAAUUUACAGUUUUACGAUUUAUAAGCAUUUUUUAAAUGGUUGGUCAUUUUUGACUGGGAACACCAAAUUAGGAUUUUUAGCACAGCACAAGGGGUAAUCUUGAUAUUCUCCACAGGUAGCAGUGUCACAGUGUACCCAGACCUUCUCCUCCUCUCUAAAGCAGAGUCAUAGACGCACUGUGUGAGUCGUGUAUUUUAGCUUUGGUCUUGUGUGUUGUUGUUCAUCUUUGGAUCUUAAAUAGGACAUCAAUGAACAGUUUGUUUAUUUAUUUGGAAUUGUGUCAGUGUCAAAGAUAUUACAUGUAUAUUUUCUAUUAAAUUCUAUUCAACUAUUCAAGAGUGGUGUCCUUUAUCUUAAGUCUUUGUUCAUGUAUCAUUUUCACUCUCUGUGAGGUUUGGUUUUAUUUUUAAUUGUAUUUGAUAGUUAUGAAGUCACUUCAAAUAUAAAAGUUCAUAAAAAACAUAUGUCAAAAACAUUUUUCUUGAAAACUGUAGUUGCU
ensembl:lncRNA